GACGAACGCUGGCGGCGUGCCUAAUACAUGCAAGUAGAACGCAGUUGCGAACGGGUGAGUAACGCGUAGGUAACUGCCUCAUAGCGGGGGAUAAAUAUUGGAAACGUUAGCUAAUACCGCCAACUGUGAGAUGGACCUGCGUUGUAUUAGCUAGUUGGUGGGGUAAAGGCUCACCAAGGCGACGAUACAUAGCCGGCCUGGGAGGGAGAUCGGCCCAACUGGGACUGGAACAAGGCCCAGACUCCUAAGGGGGGCAGCCAUAGGGAAUCUUCGGAAAUGGACGGAAUGCUGACCGAGCAACGGCGCGGGAGUGAAGAAGGUUUUCGGAUCGUAAAGCUCUGUUGUUAGAGAAGCGGUAACUGACCAAGAAGGGACGGCUAACUACGUGCCAGCAGCCGCGGUAAUAC
rnacentral:rRNA from 1 species